UGGGCCAUCGCCAAGCGGUAAGGCACAGCACUUUGACUGCUGCAUGCGCAGGUUCAAAUCCUGCUGGCCCAG
rnacentral:tRNA from 1 species